CACAGAUUCUGCUGUUCCCAGGAGGAGGUGCUCUGGUGAAGGGUGAAAUGUGAAAUGUCCACUGAAUGUGUUCUCCUCUAGAUGAAGUGUGAUCUGCAAAUCAGCUCCCUAACUCCAGAGUGUGGCUGCCAGUAGGAAGGUGACAGCAGAGAUUGUCUCCAAAACCCUAUUAAGUGAGGUACUCAGGUGUGAUCAUGGCAAGUCAUAUGACUAAAUAUAACCAGCUAAGGCAAAGAAAUUUGCACCUCUCCAGAAAUCUUCAACAGUGAACUGGUUACUCAUAUACUUUUUCUCUCAUAAUGUGAAGCUACAAAUGUCUUAUGCUAAGAAGAGCAAGUAUCCAAAUCCAAGGAAGCUGCAGAGGAAAUGGUUUUACGAGGAGCAGCAGUUCUCAGAGAAAAUAAUGUUUAAGAUGAUGCACAUAAUUGGCAAAGAUAAAGUUCAUCUCUGGGUGGAAGGAAGAUUAUCAAGAGAAUUUGUGUGAAAUGGAGAAAAAAGGAAUCUUUGAUUAGGAAGAAGAUAGUGGAUAUCCAAAGCUAACAAGUCAGAAACAAGCUACAAAACCAAGCCCAAAACAUUGAGAACUGAAUGUCAAAGCACAUGAUGUAAUUAUGGUAUCACAUGAUGGAUUAAGAAUGCUUGGACAAGACCGUUCUGAAGGGCAGCGUGGCACAGGGCGCUGGUUUCUCUGGCUAUGCAGAACAGAAUGUCAGGGUUUUUUCCCCCAGAAAGCAAAACAAAACCAGCCACAGGUGGUUGCAAAGGAGCAAGACUUCACUAGCAAAUAGGAAAAAAGCCUCAGGAAAAAUGACUGAGUUUUCCCCUUGGAAUAUGGAGUGAGGAUUGAAGUAAAAGAGCAAGCUUUAGUCCUUCAAGACUUUGCCAAAGUAAGGCAGAUAAAAGUAAAUUUUACUAUAUCCUACUAACAGCUUUAAGGAAAAAAAAAAACAUCUUUGCUUCUAAAUACAGUUAAAAUCAGUUUGUGUCUAAAAAAAUUUUAAAAGGUGAAUUAAGUACUGUGCCACCUGAGUAUAAAUGUUGAUUAGGCAGCUUUGCUCCUGGCACAUGGAAAUUAAUUAAUACAAGUACAGUAUCAAACAGAAGAGACACAGCAAUAGUCAGCUUUCUGUCCCAUUAUCUUCAAACAGUGCAUUGAGAUUUAUUUCAGCAAUAUUGCAAUAGGUGCAGCAGCUAAUUUGGUGGAAGAAAUAAUAAACAAUAAAGAGAAACGAGUCCAGUUAUUUACAUACUUAGUAGACUUCCUGAAGUUGGAAGUAAACAGUGUUUAUGGUAUCAAAAUUCCCUGCAUGCAACCUUCCUCUCCACCAUAGCUGGCAGUUUACUGUAAACAUCAGAGUAUAAACAUGACUUGAGGUUGGUGAAUUGAAUACUAAUUAAUUUGAGCGGGGUUUUCUAGAUUUAAGGGAUAGUGUGAAAGACAGGUUUGGGCAUAAAUAAAGAGGCAGCAAAAACUGGCAUCUAGCUGGGAGUAUUGGAUGACAGGUGAAAAUGACUGUGGAGAACCAGCCUCAUUUGGGCCUAUAAAUGUAAGGAUGAGAUGGGGCAGAACUGAAAGCUCAGACUCCAGAGAUUUAAUAAUUUUGUUUCUCAGAUCUUGGAUGACAAACUUUCCUAGCAUUUCCCUCCUUGUGAGGCUAUCUCAGACCACCAGCCUGGGAUACCAAGAAAUAAGAACAAAACAAUA